rnacentral:lncRNA from 1 species
CUCCCAAAGUGCUGGGAUUACAGGCGUGAACCAAGGCGCCCGGCCGGAGUAGGAAUUUUAUGGGUUAUAAACUAAGGAUAUGGAGGUCGACUUGAGGAAGAAACCUGGAGUAUAAAAAUUCAGUUUGGAAAAAGACGUUUUGUCUCUUAAACUGAAGCACAUUCCUGCCAUUCAUUCGGACCAUACGAAGAUAAAACUAAAAACUUUUCUCUAAAGCUCCUGGUGAUGGUAGUUGAGUCAAUGAGCCACCAGCAACAACAAAGGACAAAAAGACUGCCAAAAAGUUCUAUGGCACAAGAAGUUUGAGAACUAGUGCUGUGGAUACCAUCUAUACAGCAAAGCACUAUGCUUCUGACGAUAGACCCUGCUUUCCUAAUUGAUCAAGAGAUAAAUAAGUGAUUCCAGCUGGCUAAAUGUGUGUUGCUGGCAAUAUGUGGCCCCAGGGGAGAGGCAAAAGUGGAGGUUCCCGAGUCAUCUGAGAUUUGUUGCCUCGGAACAGGAUCCACAGCUCAAUAAUAGUCACUGUACUGUCAUUGUUUAUUUGAAAUCUAAAGGUGUAAUGCAAGAAUAUGCAAGACCACAGGGACUGGAGACACAAAGAGCAUCUGAAGAGAGCUUGAAUGACUCCCAACAGUUCCAGUCUCAAAGUUACCAUGUGCAGCACAGUCAGGGCAGCAUGUGAGAAGAACAACAAGAAAGCUGGGGUCUGCCAGAGAAGACGGAAGCCCUCACAUUAAACUGAGUCAGCUGGCAUCUUGAUCUUGGACUUUCAAAUCUCCAGAACU